GCAAGUCGAACGAGAUUCUCUUCUUCGGAGGAGAUGAAAGUGGCGCACGGGUGCGUAACGCGUAUGCAACCUACCCUUAACUGGGGGAUAGCCCGGAGAAAUUCGGAUUAAUACCCCAUAGAAUCACCAGAUGGCAUCUGAAGGUGAUUAAAGAUUUAUUGGUUAAGGAUGGGCAUGCAUGACAUUAGAUAGUUGGUGAGGUAACGGCUCACCAAGUCAGCGAUGUCUAGGGGUUCUGAGAGGAUGAUC
rnacentral:rRNA from 1 species